UUAAAAAGCUCGUAGUUGAAUUUCGGGAUCAAUACGUCGGUUGUGCUUCGGUACGUACUGGCGUAAUUGAUUUCUCCCUUCUGACGAACCAUGAUGUCAUUAACUUGGUGUCAUGGGAAAUCAGGACUGUUACUUUGAAAAAAUUAGAGUGUUUAAAGCAGGCUCACGCUUGAAUACAUUAGCAUGGAAUAAUGAAAUAGGACGUUCGAUCCUAUUUUGUUGGUUUUUAGGAUCAACGUAAUGAUUAAUAGGGAUAGUUGGGGG
rnacentral:rRNA from 1 species